GACGAACGCUGGCGGCGUGCCUAAUACAUGCAAGUAGAACGCUGAAGGAGGAGCUUGCUUCUCCGGAUGAGUUGCGAACGGGUGAGUAACGCGUAGGUAACCUGCCUGGUAGCGGGGUAUAACUAUUGGAAACGAUAGCUAAUACCGCAUAACAGUAGAUAUCGCAUGAUAUCUGCUUGAAAGGUGCAAUUGCAUCACUACCAGAUGGACCUGCGUUGUAUUAGCUAGUUGGUGAGGUAACGGCUCACCAAGGCGACGAUACAUAGCCGACCUGAGAGGGUGAUCGGCCACACUGGGACUGAGACACGGCCCAGACUCCUACGGGAGGCAGCAGUAGGGAAUCUUCGGCAAUGGACGGAAGUCUGACCGAGCAACGCCGCGUGAGUGAAGAAGGUUUUCGGAUCGUAAAGCUCUGUUGUAAGAGAAGAACGAGUGUGAGAGUGGAAAGUUCACACUGUGACGGUAUCUUACCAGAAAGGGACGGCUAACUACGUG
rnacentral:rRNA from 1 species